rnacentral:rRNA from 1 species
UACGUAGGGUGCAAGCGUUGUCCGGAAUUAUUGGGCGUAAAGAGCUCGUAGGCGGUCUGUCGCGUCUGCUGUGAAAAUCCAGGGCUCAACCCUGGACCUGCAGUGGGUACGGGCAGACUAGAGUGCGGUAGGGGAGAUCGGAAUUCCUGGUGUAGCGGUGAAAUGCGCAGAUAUCAGGAGGAACACCGGUGGCGAAGGCGGUCUGCUGGGCAGUAGCUGACACUGAGGCGCGACAGCGUGGGGAGCAAACAGG